AUUGAACGCUGGCGGCAUGCCUUACACAUGCAAGUCGAACGGCAGCACGGGAGCAAUCCUGGUGGCGAGUGGCGAACGGGUGAGUAAUAUAUCGGAACGUGCCCAGUCGUGGGGGAUAACGUAGCGAAAGCUACGCUAAUACCGCAUACGAUCUAUGGAUGAAAGCGGGGGAUCGCAAGACCUCGCGCGAUUGGAGCGGCCGAUAUCAGAUUAGGUAGUUGGUGAGGUAAAGGCUCACCAAGCCGACGAUCUGUAGCUGGUCUGAGAGGACGACCAGCCACACUGGGACUGAGACACGACCUAGACUCCUACGGGAGGCAGCAGUGGGGAAUUUUGGACAAUGGGCGCAAGCCUGAUCCAGCAAUGCCGCGUGCAGGAUGAAGGCC
rnacentral:rRNA from 1 species